rnacentral:rRNA from 1 species
UAACGCGUGAGGAACCUGCCUCAAAGAGGGGGACAACAGUUGGAAACGACUGCUAAUACCGCAUAAGCCCACAGCUCGGCAUCGAGCAGAGGGAAAAGGAGUGAUCCGCUUUGAGAUGGCCUCGCGUCCGAUUAGCUAGUUGGUGAGGUAAUGGCCCACCAAGGCGACGAUCGGUAGCCGGACUGAGAGGUUGAACGGUCACAUUGGGACUGAGACACGGCCCAG